rnacentral:piRNA from 1 species
UUUGGACAUGUACAGUUUCAGAGAUGACCAC